CCUACGGGAGGCCGCAGUGAGGAAUAUUGGUCAAUGGGCGCGAGCCUGAACCAUCCAAGUAGCGUGAAGGAUGACUGCCCUCAGGGUUGUAAACUUCUUUUUUAAAGGAAUAAAGUGAGGCACGUGUGCCUUUUUGUAUGUACUGUAUGACUACGGAUCGGCUAACUCCGUGCCAGCAGCCGCGGUACUUAGGAGGAUCCGAGCGUUAUCCGGAUUUAUUGGGUUGUAAGGGAGCGUAGAUGGGUUGUUAUGGUAGUUUUGAAAGGUUGCGGCUCAACCGUUAAAUGGCAAUUGAUACUUGCAGUCUUGAGUACAGUUGAGGUAGACGGAAUUCGUGGGGUAGCGGUGACAUGCUGAGAUAGCACGAAGAACUCCGAUUGCGAAGGCAGCUUACUAAACUGCCACUGACAUUGAUGCUCGAAAGUGUGGGUAUCAAACAGGAUUAGAUACCCCUGGUAGUC
rnacentral:rRNA from 1 species